AGUUCAGCUCUAAAACCAGCACUGACAAGGCCAUCACUAAACCAUGUCCCCAAGAGCCACAUCUACAUGUUCUUUAACUGUCUCCUGGGAGGGUGACUCCACCACUUCCCAGGGCAGCCUGGACACA